rnacentral:rRNA from 1 species
GAUUGCCUCAGUAACGGCGAGUGAAGCGGCAACAGCUCAAAUUUGAAAUCUGGCCCUUUCAGGGUCCGAGUUGUAAUUUGUAGAGGAUGUUUCGGGCGUGGCUCCGGUCUAAGUUCCUUGGAACAGGACGUCAUAGAGGGUGAGAAUCCCGUAUGUGACUGGUAGCCUAUGCCCAUGUGAAACUCCUUCGACGAGUCGAGUUGUUUGGGAAUGCAGCUCAAAAUGGGUGGUAAAUUUCAUCUAAAGCUAAAUAUUGGCCAGAGACCGAUAGCGCACAAGUAGAGUGAUCGAAAGAUGAAAAGCACUUUGGAAAGAGAGUUAAACAGUACGUGAAAUUGUUGAAAGGGAAGCGCUUGCAACCAGACUUGCACGUGGCCGAUCAACCGGUGUUCUCACCGGUGCACUCGGUUGCGUUCAGGCCAGCAUCGGUUUCGACGGUUGGAUAAAGGCCCCGGGAAUGUAGCUUCUUUCGGGGAGUGUUAUAGCCCGGGGUGCAAUGCAGCCUGUUGGGACCGAGGACCGCGCUUCGGCUAGGAUGCUGGCGUAAUGGUUGUAAGCGACCCGUCUUGAAACACGGACCAAGGAGUCUAACAUCUAUGCGAGUGUUUGGGUGUCAAACCCAUACGCGUAAUGAAAGUGAACGGAGGUGAGAACCCUUAAGGGUGCAUCAUCGACCGAUCCUGAUGUCUUCGGAUGGAUUUGAGUAAGAGCAUAGCUGUUGGGACCCGAAAGAUGGUGAACUAUGCCUGAAUAGGGUGAAGCCAGAGGAAACUCUGGUGGAGGCUCGCAGCGGUUCUGACGUGCAAAUCGAUCGUCAAAU